GGGCCUGUAGAUCAAUGGUAGAUCGCCACCUUCGCAUUUCCACAAAGAAAAAGGUGGAGGCUCUGGGUUCAAAUCCCAGCAGGUCCA
rnacentral:tRNA from 1 species